GUUUCUCACUAUCAAGUACUCACUAACGGGUAAAGGUAAUAAUUAACGACGUAAGACGCAGAUAUAAAAGAAAGCGAUAACUUAAAAGACAUCGUUAGAAACAUGAACAAGUUGCUACAAGGAGUACUGAUACUAGGCUUACUUUUAGCCACUUGCCAUGGAGACUUAGCGGAAAUCCUUUUGAAAACGACGAGACAUAAAAAUGACCUGGAAAAUAAGAAAAAUUCACUACACGCAAGAGUUGUAGAAGAAAAAUACAAUACUGUCAAUAACAUAAACCCAGGAAACAUAGUAAUACUGAAGGACAAUGCGGUAUACAUCUAUGAUCGAGAAAGUGGUCGCUUCAUUGGACGGAGCAUAGGAACGUUUCUUCUAAAACUUCUUGGUGCCUUCGGAAUCGGCGGUGCACUUAUAAGCGUUGAUACAAACAGUCAUAACAUAACGAAUAAAACAAAAAUAACUAAUAGUUUUGGUGAUCUAUUCUUAGGACAAAAUAUUAAUAACAUAGAAUAAUCAAAAAUCAAAAAUGAGGAAAUGUAACUCUCAUAUUAUAUCUACCGUUUUGGUGUUGGUUCGCUUUAUUCAGAAAAUACAAUAUAUCUGCUGUUUUGAUCUUGGUUCCUUUUUCUCAAAGAUUGGUUCGUCUUAAAUCUCACAACGUAUUAUCAAGGAGAAGGGAGGGAGGCGGAUGGCCCCAGCACAGCAAAGAUGAACCUACAGCGGAAUUUAAUGCUUUAAGUAUUAUACUGAAUAAAAAUAUGCCAAGUUUUAAUGAGAUAAUAAAAUUCAAGGAAUUC